UCAGAAGGGAUUAAAGAAUUUAAGGAAUUGUAACUAAGAUCAAGGUACUGAAGCUUUCUGAGUUGGCCUAUGGAGGAUGGAAUUGGCCCUGUGAAAUAGUUGCCACUAAGGUUGAAUUGGGUGAGCUUGAGAAAUGGGGUGAAGUUGAAAUGGGUUAGCGUUGCAGAGAUGUCGAAGUUGGAGAGGUCAAUUUGGGAAACUUGUUCGCUGCUCUGGUCACAAACAAUGGCAUACCAGUUGCAAAGAUUGUUGAGGUUAGUGAGGGACCAUGAAGUGAGAAAAGGUGUUGCAGAAGCAAUGGUGUUCUUCCAAGUUAGCAAAGCUUCUGCCUGUGUUUUUGGUGAUGAAAUGGCCUUGAAUGGAAGCAAAGCAAGCAGGAAAAUAUGAAGGAGAAGAAGAAGAUAAGUAGGCUUGUGACUCUGAGCAGAGAAAACUCCUCCUUCCAUGGUGGUUUGAGGAGUUAAUGUUAUG
rnacentral:lncRNA from 1 species